rnacentral:rRNA from 1 species
AACGAACGCUGGCGGCAUGCUUAACACAUGCAAGUCGAGCGCCCCGCCAGGGGAGCUGCAGCCGUGUGAGUAACGCGUGGGAACGUACCUUUUGGUUCGGAACAACUCCGUGAGACUGGGGCUAAUACCGGAUAAGCCCUAACGUAGAAAGAUUUAUCUCCGAAAGAUCGGCGCACGUCUGAUUAGCUAGUUGGUGAGGUAACGGCUCACCAAGGCGACGAUCAGUAGCUGGUCUGAGAGGAUGAUCAGCCACACUGAGACUGAGACACGGCCCAGACUCCUACGGGAGGGAGCAGUGGGGAAUAUUGGAAAAUGGGGGCAGGCAUGAUGCAGCCAUGCCGGGUGAGUGAUGAAGGCAUUAGGGUUGUAAAGCUCUUUUGUCCGGGAAGAUAAUGACUGUACCGGAAGAAUAAGCCACGGCUAACUUCGUG